rfam:Alligator mississippiensis ScZkoYb_56, whole genome shotgun sequence.
UUAAUGGCUUUUUUUAAAGCUAUUCAUGAUUUCAUCACAUAUUUAU